rnacentral:rRNA from 1 species
UGCGCAGGUGGGCUGGUAAGUUCGAUGUGAAAGCCCCGGGCUUAACCCGGGAAAGGCAUUGGAUACUACUGGUCUGGAGGAUUGGAGGGGGGACGUGGAAUUCUUGGUGUAGCAGUGAAAUGCGUAGAUAUCAAGAGGAACACCAGUGGCGAAGGCGAGUCCCUGGACAAUACCUGACACUGAGGCACGAAAGCCAAAGGGAGCAAACA